CGAAGGGACUAGCGUUGUUCGGAAUUACUGGGCGUAAAGCGCACGUAGGCGGAUUUGUUAGUCAGGGGUGAAAUCCCGGGGCUCAACCUCGGAACUGCCUUUGAUACUGCAAAUCUCGAGUCCGAUAGAGGUGGGUGGAAUUCCUAGUGUAGAGGUGAAAUUCGUAGAUAUUAGGAAGAACACCGGUGGCGAAGGCGGCCCACUGGAUCGGUACUGACGCUGAGGUGCGAAAGCGUGGGGAGCAAACAGGAUU
rnacentral:rRNA from 1 species